GACGAACUGUGCAAACGUUAUUCGGAAUCACUGGGCGUAAAGGGUGCGUAGGCGGGUCUUUAAGUCAGGGGUGAAAUCCUGGAGCUCAACUCCAGAACUGCCUUUGAUACUGAAGAUCUUGAGUUCGGGAGAGGUGAGUGGAACUGCGAGUGUAGAGGUGAAAUUCGUAGAUAUUCGCAAGAACACCAGUGGCGAAGGCGGCUCACUGGCCCGAUACUGACGCUGAGGCACGAAAGCGUGGGGAGCAAACAGG
rnacentral:rRNA from 1 species